GUCUUAAUAACGACCUGCAUGAAACAUAGAACGAUUUGAUAGCUGUCUUGCACACACAUCAUGGUAAAAUAUUCAUCAGUACAAAUAAUAUGCUGCAGAAGUCAAAACUAAAGGACAAAAAGACCCUUUGAAGCUUUAUAGGGAUAAAACUACGUUAUUGUCAAAGGAAGGUUAGCUUCUCCGCUUACUGCUAAAGCCUCACAAGAUUUACAACAUCAAGACCACUGUUUAAUUGGGGCGAUAACCUUAUCCACAGCCACCUAAGGUGAACAAAGCGAUACAAGGAUCCUAAAUACAAAUUUGACCAACUAAUAAGUGCAAAGAUACAUGUUUUGUUUAAUGGCCCAACAAGUCCUUCCCAGUACUUAAAUGCUAUCUUAAUGAGCUUUAAAUUAAUUUACCAGAGUUAAGCUACUCUACGGAUAACAGGCUUAAUUUCCGCAAUAUCUAAGGUCACAUUCUCAAGAAAAAUGCACCUCGAUGUCGGCUUAUCUCAACCAAGGUAAGUAGUUGAAUAAUUGGUGGGAGUGCUCAUCCCAUUAAAAGGUACGUGAG
rnacentral:rRNA from 1 species